rnacentral:rRNA from 1 species
GUGCCAGCAGCCGCGGUAAUACAGAGGUCCCGAGCGUUGUUCGGGUUCACUGGGCGUAAAGGGUGCGUAGGUGGUGAGGUAAGUCGGAUGUGAAAGCUCGGAGCUCAACUCCGAAAUGGCAUUGGAAACUACCUCGCUCGAGGGUUUGAGGGGGGACUGGAAUACUUGGUGUAGCAGUGAAAUGCGUAGAUAUCAAGUGGAACACCAGUGGCGAAGGCGAGUCCCUGGAAAACUCCUGACACUGAGGCACGAAAGCCAGGGGAGCAAACAGGAUUAGAAACCCGCGUAGUCC